rnacentral:lncRNA from 1 species
AAAAGGAAUGAAUUUAACUGGAUAUAAAUUCAGUAUUAAGUCAAUUUAAGCCAGAAAAGUUACACAUUCCUUUGGGAAGAAAACAGUUUACAUAAAAUAUUUAUCAUAGAAGAUUUUAGAAACACGCAGAGGGUCUCCUAUUUAAAAGUCACGAGAAUCAGACCAUUGUACAGCUAAAGUCUUUGUAUAUCAGAAAGCAGUUUCCAUAUUUAAGUCGUAACAUACAGUAUUUGCCUUUCUCUGUCUGACUUAACUAGUGAAUAUUAACAAAAAAGAAGCAAACUCAGAUACAGGGAACAAACUAGUGGGUACCAGUGAGGAGAGGGAAGGGGAGGGGCAAUAUGGAGCCAAGGGAUUAACAGAUACAAGCUGUUGGGUAUAAAAUAAGCCCCCGGGACAUGGCAUACAACAUGGGGAGUGAAGCCAAUAUUUUAUAAUAACUAUCAGCUGGGUAUAACCUUUAAAAAUUGUGAAUCACUAUACUGUAUACCUAUAACCUAUAUAAUAUUGUACAUCAACUACACUUAAUUUUUUUCUAAAAAAAAUUUGAAAAGGCUUAAAAAAUAGUUUUUUUAAGAAGCAGUGAAUUCUGAUUAUUCUUGGCUAUAAAGAAAACCUAACACUAAUAGCAAAACUCAAUUUAAAAAUAGUUGUAAGGAACAAAAACUACAGAACAAUAUCAUGUGAUUAUAAAUAUCAAAUCAUCUAGUGUUGUGUCAAUAAUUAUGCUAUAGCUAAGUAAAUUUUUUCCAGGAAAAGAUUUCCAGACACUGAAUAUCUAUCAGUAUAAUUCAUUUCUAGAACAAAUUAAAGAAAAAAAUUAUUAAAAUACUUCCAAAGGCAGUUCCUAAACUUCAGCAGAUAUUCCUAAUUAAACAGACUUAAGGUUAAGUAAGAAUAUGUGGGAGUUUCCUAAAUAAAGGCUGUUGACAAAAAGAAAAUCAGUACCUAGUGUAUUAAGUGGCAAAACAUUCAAAUCAUUUUAGUUAAAAUCAGGAACUGGACACGGAUGACUGCUAGUAUUAGUAUUAGCAUUGUUUUGGAGCUUUUAAUGUAGUAAGGAAUGAAAAUGUGGAAAAAAAUGGUAUAAAUUGAAAAAGAAUGUAGUUUAUAUCAUCUAUGCUUGUUAUAAAAUUGUAUGCCUAGAAAAGGCAUGAUAGACCAAUAAAGUACUAAAAUUAAAAGCGGGCUUGGUCCACAAUAAAUAUACAGAAAGCAGUAGGUUUUCCUUCCAAUGAGCAAAAAUGAGCAACAAAUGGGAAUAAGGAAAUGCUGCUUUCACAGCUGGUGUCUGCAGUUUGCCUGUAUGCUGAGGGGAGCUGCUGUUGGAUCUAAAGCCCGGGAGAAACAGGAUCAGGUUUGCAUUUUGAAAAGAAUGCUUUGGCUGCUCUGAAGAGACUAGUUUGAAGCAGGGAGACCAAUUAUGAGGCUCCUGCAAUGAUCCAGGCAGAGAGGAUGUGGCCUCAAGCAGUGACAGUGGCUGCGGCAGCAGGAAAGAAGAGAAAGGGAAGGAUCUGAGAGCUCAAGUAGGGAAUAAAGGAUUUGCCAUCAGCUCCUUGAAAGGAAGGGAAGAGGGCAGACUUACAGAUGACUCCCUGGAUUCUGGCCAGGAGCCUGGGGGAAGGGGCUGCUGUCCCUUAAGUAGGAACACAGGAGGCCGAGCUGGUGCAUACGAUGGGAGUUGGGAAUGUGUUCCUUUCGGGUGUGUCAUGCCUGUGAGAUAUAUGAGCAUUUGGCAGGCAGAUGAUUACAUGGUUCAGAGCCGAGAGUGAAAGAUGCAUUCGAAGAAGACAUUUGGGUGUCAUCAGCAGGUUUGUCUGAUAUGCUUGGUGCAAUUACUGGAUCCAUGUUUCUUUCCAGAGGAAACUGGUCUCCGAAUGCCUGGUGUAAAGAAUGUUUUCCUUUCAGUCCUCCAGACCAGUAUACCUCUCUCUUUCUCCACUUUGCUGCUCCACACCUGAGAAGGCUGUCCAGCAAGGACAAUAGAUCUCUGGCUCCUGACCACCUUUGGUCUUGACUCAAACAUUCUUGCUCCUGCCAGGCUGCCUUUUUCUUGAAGCUACAGCAAUUCUGUAAACUUUAGACAGCUUCUCCCUCCCUAGUCCCUUUCAGGCUGGAGGUUUUAAGUACUCAUUGCUGGGCUUCCACUCUACCUUAUCCUUGCCCACACCCUUAAAACGAGUCCCUUCAGUAAAUUCCUCCCAGUUUUCCCAUUUGAUGUGCUGUUUCCAGUUUGCUACAUCAGCCGUCAGUGAAUUGGCUGCAUCAGAAUCACCUGGGGUGCCUGUUAAACUACAGCUCUCCAGGCUUCAUCCCAGAGUUAUCAAAACAGAAUUUCUAGGGGGAACCAAAGACCCAGCAAUGUUUGGGGUGUCUCAGGUGAUGCUGAUCUGUAGCCCGAUCGGGGACCCUUCCCUAGUGUUUCUAGUGACACGGCUGAGACAAUAUAAUAGCAUAGGCCAAAUAGUGGAGGUUGAAUAGUUUAAUCCCAGGCUCUGCCAUUGCCCUUGGGUGACCUUGGGCAAAACUGCACCUGUGGAAGCCUUGGGUUCCAUAAAUGUAAAGGAAGCUCUGAGUUUCUGCCUCAUAUUGUUACUCAGAGGCUUAAAUUAGGAAAUCUAAACAGAUACUCCUAAACGUCCAGUGUUCAUUAUUAUCUGUUGACAGUGUCCAUUCACUCUGUAAUUUGUCAGCUUUUAGGGCAAAUAAGACUUGGUUCCUGUUUUCAGUCUUGUAAAGGACACAGCAAGAUAAUUACAGUAAAAUGCAAUUAGAUUACUUAAUAUUUAUAAAACUUCUAACUUAAGAAUUUAGGGACUUUUUCACCAAUGUUAACAAAGCUGUGACCCAGAGGGGAUGUUUGUCAGCUCUGUCCUGUAGGGUAGGGUUAGCAGUUUCCUAGGCAGUGUUGCUCUGGACCUAUAAGCAAAGUGCAAAUGGAUUUAUGAACCUAACUAUGGAUAGAGAUGUGAUGUAAGGAACUUCUUUGGGAGUACAGGAGAGGUUGAGAGAAGCAGGGCAUGUUUCAGAGAUGAUUGUGACAUGUCAUAAACAUUUCAAGCUGUCUAUCCAUUGGGCAAGAAGUCAGGGCAAGUCUUUCACUGAAGCGAGUAGCACACAGAGUCAGUGGCUAUGCAAUUGGGAUCAUUAAGAAAGGCAAGUUUAGUAUGACAAGGAUGCAAUAUUAGAAAUGGUUGAUAAAACUUUGAGGCCACUCUUUUAUUCAGCUAAUAUUUAUUGAACUUCUCCUGUGGGUCAGACACUGCUCUGGGUGCUGAGGGCACAGACAAGUGCCAAAUAGUCCUUGUCUGUCCUGAUGGAACUUACAUUCUAGUAAGAGUUUUACUCAAUGAGUAGAUGGAUAAAUGUAUAAUGUGAAAUGAUGUUAAUUGCCAUAGGGUGGAUGGGGCGAAAUGUGGGGUGGCCAAGGAAGGCUCCUCUGUUAAGCUAACCUGAAGGGAAUGCAGAAGCUGGUCAAGUGGAUUCUCAGGGGAAAAACAUUCCAAUGGAGGGGACAUGAUACAAAGACCUUGACACAGAGCAUGCUUGAUGGACUGGAGAAACAGCAAGGAGCCUGUGUGGCUUGAGCAGAAGGACAAUGAAAAGAGUGGCAAAGCACAAGAUCAGAGACCUGAUUGGAGUUGUAGCUCAUGUAAAGCUUGGAUAGCAAUAGUGAGCAUCUUUGCUUUUGUCCCAAAUGAAGUAGUAAAGCAUCAUUGGGUUUCGAUAGUAUCUGACUUCUUUACAAAGGAUCACACCGGCUACUGUUUGAGAAUAGACUGUAGGGGGAGCAGGAGUGAAGCAGGGAUGCCCCUUAGGAAGGUGUUGUCAUAACCCAGGGAAGCCAUAGGGUGGACCAGUGUGGGAGCAGUGGUGAGAAGUGGUCAUGCACUUGGUUGUAUUGAAGAUAGAGCCACAUGUUUUGAUGCUGGAUUACACAUGAGUGCAUGCAUAAGAGAGAUGGAACAGUUGAGAUCAACUCAGAGUUUUUGAGCUGAGCAAUUGGAAGGUCACAGUUGUUAACUGAAUCAGAGAACUAUAAGAGGAAUAGGGUUAUUGUGUGAGACUGAAAAUCAGGAAUUCUCCUAAAGACAUUUUUAGUUAAAGAUGGUGAGCAGGCAGCUUAGGUAAAGAGUUUGAAGUUGAGGGGAGAAGUCCAAGCUGCAGAUAGAAAUUUAGUUAGAAAGUCAGUGUGGAGGACGGGAUUAAGAUGGCGAAUAGAAGGACUGGAGCUCAG